UACGUAGGGUGCAAGCGUUGUCCGGAAUUAUUGGGCGUAAAGAGCUCGUAGGCGGUUUGUCGCGUCGGCUGUGAAAACUCGGGGCUCAACCCCGAGCCUGCAGUCGAUACGGGCAGACUAGAGUGCGGUAGGGGAGACUGGAAUUCCUGGUGUAGCGGUGAAAUGCGCAGAUAUCAGGAGGAACACCGGUGGCGAAGGCGGGUCUCUGGGCCGUAACUGACGCUGAGGAGCGAAAGCAUGGGUAGCAAACAGG
rnacentral:rRNA from 1 species